CAUCACAUAGUUGGUAAGGUAAUCGCUUACCAGGGGUAGGCUGGGUACGGGACGUGAGAGGCUGGCCCCACACAAUGGAAGGGAAACACAGUCCAUACUCUUACGCAAGGCAGCAGUAGGGAAUAUUAGUAAUGGGCGAAAGCGUGAAAGACCAACGGGGCGUGUGGGAAGAAGGCCUUCGGGUUGUAAAGCACUGUUAGAGAGGAUCAGGAAGGACGGUACUCUCAGAAUAAGUCUCGGCUAAAUUCGUGCCCGCAGGCGCGGUAACUAGUAGGAGGGCAACGUUAUCUGGAUUUACUGGGGGUAAAGGGGGGGUAGGUGGUUUGGUAAGUAGGGCGUGAAAGCUCCCGGCUCAACUGGGAGAGGCCGUUUUAAACUGCCAAGCUAGAGGAUGGUAGAGGGAGGUGGAAUUCCGGGUGUAGCGAGGGAAAGCUCAUAUAUCUGGAGGAACACCACUGGGGAAGGGGGCGUUUCGGGCCAUUCCUGACACUCAGACGCGAAAAAGAGGGUAGCAAACGGGAUUAGAGACCCCGGUAGUCCUAGCCCUAAACGAUGUAGCCUGGCGUCGGUGGUUUAAAAGCCAUC
rnacentral:rRNA from 1 species